ACAGUCGGGUCGGGAGCCCUGUGGCCUGGAGGAAGCGGGAGGAGGCGCGGGCAGCCGCCAGGGCGAGGCGACCCGGUGCGGGGGGACUCCCAUGGAGCGCGGACUCCUAAGGAAGUCGCUGGGAAUCCCACCGGCUGUACCGCAGGGCGUUAGUACCUAGAUGGCUUCGGUGCCCCCAAGCGAUGGGCUCAAGCUACAGGGCGGGCUUUGCACCUGGCCUUCUCAGCUCUGAGGCAGGCAGUGGGCAGCUUCGCCUCCACCCUCCGUCCAGCGCCCUUCCCAUGGGGCCAUCCGCCUCUCCCUAAGGCACUAAAAACCAGUGGAGGAGUCAGGCCAUGUUGGCAAAAAGGGCUCGGGCAGCAGCCCCAGACCUAUAGUCCUAAAUAUCCAUGUACCCAGCCCUGGGGUCGCGAGCCAUCUCAGGGACGACCCGAUUCCAGCGGAUGGAGAAGUUCCCUGAAAACACCUGCCUGGGAGGAGAGACGAGGGAACGAGAUUGGACAGUGCUUUACCAUGGAACUGAAACCAUGAAAAGUGAAACUGCAAAUGGGAGAGACUGCUGUAUAGUCACUGAAAAAUUAAUGGAUGAGCUCAACAGCAAAUUAGACACAACUGAAACCUUGGACCCAUGUGUGGAAGAUGACAGCAUCACCAACUGGAGGGUGCCUGGAUCCCUGAGUCACCACUUGAAGCAAAAAGGUCAAGAGUAGCCACCUGACCCAUAUCAGGCUAUGAAAUGAAGAGAAAAUGACACGAGGCUUUGGAACCAAGAGCUGGAGGAACCUGGAAGCGAAAGCUGAGGCUGUCGGCUGCCCAGCAGUUAACACCCUGAGACCAUCUUCCCACUUCCAACACCCACAGAAGCUGCCACCCAAGGGCCCCUGUGUCCCCGCAUGGCCCACCUCAGCAGUAUGAUGCAGCACUGGGGAAGUGACAGAAUGUGAAAAAAACUAUUAUAGCUGAGAUAUUUUAAAAUUCCGCCCUCCAGGCAGCAUCUGGUUGCUACAGCAACCCCAGCUCUGCAGGGUGUCCCGAUUACCAGCAGGCUCCCUGCACCUGCCUCAGGCUGAGAGCAGGCGGCUGCCGCCAAGGGGAACACCAAGGAAAUGCCCAUGUUCUGAUUCCAAGGUAAUGGCUCAGACCCAAGGGGAUUUUAUCUGUUCAAUGUGCAACCUGAUGAAGUUUUGUCCCAUGUUAAUAAUUUCAUUAAAAAUAUGGCCUUACAUCCUAU
ensembl:lncRNA LINC01664 long intergenic non-protein coding RNA 1664